rnacentral:rRNA from 1 species
AUUGAACGCUGGCGGCAUGCCUUACACAUGCAAGUCGAACGGCAGCACGGGUGCUUGCACCUGGUGGCGAGUGGCGAACGGGUGAGUAAUACAUCGGAACGUACCUUAUCGUGGGGGAUAACGCAGCGAAAGCUGUGCUAAUACCGCAUACGCCCUGAGGGGGAAAGCGGGGGAUCGCAAGACCUCGCGCGAUUAGAGCGGCCGAUGCCUGAUUAGCUUGUUGGUGGGGUAAAAGCCCACCAAGGCGACGAUCAGUAGCUGGUCUGAGAGGACGCACAGCCACACUGGGACUGAGACACGGCCCAGACUCCUACGGGAGGCAGCAGUGGGGAAUUUUGGACAAUGGGGGCAACCCUGAUCCAGCAAUGCCGCGUGAGUGAAGAAGGCCUUCGGGUUGUAAAGCUCUUUUGUCAGGGAAGAAACACCGGCUCUAACACAGUCCGGGAAUGACGGUACCUGAAGAAUAAGCACCGGCUAACUACGUGCCAGCCGCCGCCGUAA